rnacentral:rRNA from 1 species
AUUGAACGCUGGCGGCAGGCUUAACACAUGCAAGUCGAGCGGAGAUGAGGUGCUUGCACCUUAUCUUAGCGGCGGACGGGUGAGUAAUGCUUAGGAAUCUGCCUAUUAGUGGGGGACAACAUUCCGAAAGGAAUGCUAAUACCGCAUACGCCCUACGGGGGAAAGCAGGGGAUCUUCGGACCUUGCGCUAAUAGAUGAGCCUAAGUCGGAUUAGCUAGUUGGUGGGGUAAAGGCCUACCAAGGCGACGAUCUGUAGCGGGUCUGAGAGGAUGAUCCGCCACACUGGGACUGAGACACGGCCCAGACUCCUACGGGAGGCAGCAGUGGGGAAUAUUGGACAAUGGGCGGAAGCCUGAUCCAGCCAUGCCGCGUGUGUGAAGAAGGCCUUUUGGUUGUAAAGCACUUUCAGCGAGGAGGAGGCUACCGAGAUUAAUACUCUUGGAUAGUGGACGUUACUCGCAGAAUAAGCACCGGCUAACUCUGUGCCAGCCGCCGCCGUAACAC